AGACGUGUAACUCAGUGCUAGAGUGCUUGUCUAGCAUACAGAAGGCCCUGGGUUCAAUUCCCAGCUCUG
rnacentral:tRNA from 1 species